CACAUGAACAUCAUGAAGCCCUUCAGAAGAUGCCGCCACUCGAGCUGCUGCAAGUUGUAAGUGCAAUCUAGCCACAUCUCUUGACCAUUUUCCUGACUUGUUACAUGGGAGCUUGGCAAUGAUAAGAUCGAUUCGAGACUUGUCAGGAACUUGAAUCCAAGGAAGAGAAGGACAAGUGGGGACUUUGAAUUUUUCUUCCUCGUCAAUCCAUUCCGGGUAUAAAGAUUUCCAAGUUAUGUUACUUGCAGCAUGGUCUAGAUGCAAAGCUAUAUGCUGACAGUGAGAUUUUAUGACCACCUGCCAUCGAUUAAUCUCGUUAUCGUUGAGAUUUAGAAAGCCAAUUCCUUGAUACUCGCUUCUGCCAGAUAAGUAAUGCUCAACAACAAGUGACAUACUGUUCCAGUUGAUCUCAGAUGUAGCUAUAUAGCGAGGAUCUGUGGUUACAGCAGGUUCUAGUAUCCAUUUGUUUGCAAAACUUGAUGGAUCUUCAGGAAUUUGCAACGGUGGAGAACAGUAGAGUGUGAACAUAGCAACCAGCAUCAUAAGAAACAAAACAAGUUUCAGACUAGAGAAGUUGACACACAUUUCAACAUCGAGAGUGUAUCCGUUUCUUUGGAAUCUCUUCGUUUUUGUUUUCUCACUAUAUAUGUAAAACAAAUGCACUAUGUCAAGCCAACAGAUGAAUACAGAUCUCUGUAAUGCAC